rnacentral:rRNA from 1 species
UGGGCGUAAAGGGCUCGCAGGCGGUUUCUUAAGUCUGAUGUGAAAGCCCCCGGCUCAACCGGGGAGGGUCAUUGGAAACUGGGGAACUUGAGUGCAGAAGAGGAGAGUGGAAUUCCACGUGUAGCGGUGAAAUGCGUAGAGAUGUGGAGGAACACCAGUGGCGAAGGCGACUCUCUGGUCUGUAACUGACGCUGAGGAGCGAAAGCGUGGGGAGCGAACAGGAUUAGAUACCCUGGUAAUCCA